GGAACAGCACAAAGCAGACUCAGGGAGAGGGACUGCACGGCACAACUCCAGUGGGGAAACAGCCAGCUCUGCCUCGGGACACGGGGACAGUUUAUUAUAGGACUGGCUACAAGUGAUGUCCUUGGUGUGAGACCUAAGGCACAACUGACCUGGGAGCACUGACCACGUGGGACUGCUUUGCAGACAAAUAGGAGGUCCCUGAUCUGAAAAGCUUAUCCACAGACCCACGGCCCUACUGGUACAUCGGACGUCCACUGCUGAUUUCAGUGGGAGUUUGGGAUGUGUCAGAGAAGCAUGUUCAGGCAACUGAUCCAGAGCGUUGAAGACAAACCAUAAUCUCUUGCCAAGUUUGCACCACCCUGAGCCAACAACAGAAAUUAUUAGUUUCUCCAUAACACCACAAUGUAAAUUCUGUCAUUGCCUGUGUUGUGUGACGGGGCUCCACUCACCAUGCUGGCAACUCCUGUUGGCCAUCUUGGGGAUUAGCUCCGCAGUGGAUACACCCACUCCCAGUGGUGCCUCGCCCACCAUCACUUAUGCUCCCGGACCACAUCAUUCCAAAGAACGUGGCAUUCUCUUCGUGACACGGCCCUCUGUCCGUGCCAUAAUCUGCACUCCCCCCUUCCAGAGGCCAGUGCUGCAGUCCAACUGUCCAGCCACUUCCCCAGCACCCUCUUUGCCCUUCCCUCAGCCUGCAAAUCCCAGCAGCCAGCCAGGAGCUCUUCUCUAUCACCCCUAGUCCCUGCUAGCAGCAGUGCUCUGUCCAGGAUGCUAACUUCCUUCUGCCUGCCAGGCAUCCAGUCCUCCCUCCUUGAGCUCCAGGGUAUAACUGACUCUGUUCUGCCUUAUAUUGGGCUGCUGGGCCCUGAUUGGCU